rnacentral:misc_RNA from 1 species
GAACGCAUAUUGCACUCUCUGGUUUUCCAGGAGUAUGCCUGUUUGAGGGUCAGUUAAAUAAAAUUCGGGGUUGUUGCUACCUUUCGUGGUGACGCUUCGGAGUUGGGUCGUCUUUACCCUUCGGUUAAGUGACCUAAAAUUUAAUAUGAUUUUCGAACGUAUUUAAAUCAUUUACGUACGUUUGUAACAUCGAAUAUUAGGUGUGGCCAUUCUCAUGGUUCGCGCCUAUAAUUUUCAUCAAUUGACCUCAAAUCAGGUAAGAGUACCCGCUGAACUUAAG